AGCGAACGCUGGCGGCGUGCCUAACACAUGCAAGUCGAGCGCGGGCAUUUCGGGGGUAACCCCGGGACUGUGCUGAGCGGCGGACGAGUGAGUAAUACGUGGACAACCUGCCUUAAAGCUUGGGAUAACUCCGGGAAACGUGGAGCUAAUACCGGAUAAGACCACGGUGUCUAUGGAUGCUGAGGUAAAAGGCGGCCAGGAAACUGGCUGUUGCUUAAAGAUGGGUCCACGUCCCANCAGGUAGUUGGUGAGGUAAAGGCUCACCAAGCCAAAGACGGGUAGCUGGCCUUAGCGGGUGGUCAGCCACACGGGGACUGAGACACGGCCCCGGACUCCUACGGGAGGCAGCAGUGGGGAAUAUUGGGCAAUGGGCGAAAGCCUG
rnacentral:rRNA from 1 species